CUUUGGCAAAGAGAGGGAGCACUGGCAAAACCUUCACAGUGAGUUGGUCGCGCUAACUUACAGGGCUGACCCUAAGAAUCUCUGCGACACUGACCAGAUACUGUGGUUGCUGAGAGCCUGAACUAUUCUUCCGAGCUGUUCUCUGUCUCUGAAUGUGUUGGUGAUUCCUAGUGAUGCCCUCAGAGGUUCUAAAGACAAGGAUCUUAGCAGCAUGGAAAUGAAAUGCCUACUUUUCUUUCUCUAAGGCUUUGUCUGUUAUGAAGCAAAUAACUUCAACAAAACUACAUACUUGACUUCACAGUAACAUUUAAAAGGAAAACAGAAAAGUGAUCUAAAAUAACAUCUCCCAAAGUAACUCUAAGUAUUUAAUUAAACAA